GACGAACGCUGGCGGCGUGCUUAACACAUGCAAGUCGAACGGAAAGGCCCUGCUUUUGUGGGGUGCUCGAGUGGCGAACGGGUGAGUAACACGUGAGUAAACUGCCCUUGACUUUGGGAUAACUUCAGGAAACUGGGGCUCAUAUCGGAUAGGAGAUCCUGCUGCACGGUGGGGGUUGGAAAGUUUCGGCGGUUGGGGAUGGACUAGCGGCUUAUCAGCUUGUUGGUGAGGUAGUGGCUUACAAAGGCUUUGACGGGUAGCCGGCCUGAGAGGUUGACCGGGCACAUGGGGACUGAGAGACGGCGCAGAAGGCAAUGGGAGGCAGAAGGGGGGAAUAUUGCGCAAUGGGCGGAAGCCAGAUGCAGCAACGCCGCGUGCGGAAUGACGGCCUUCGAGUUAUAAACCGCUUUCGCCUGUGACGAAGCGUGAGUGACGGUAACGGGUAAAGAAGCACCGGCUAACUACGUG
rnacentral:rRNA from 1 species